UGGCCUAUAGUAUAAAGGUAGUACGACAGAUUUUGAUUCUGUUUGUCGAGGUUCGAAUCCUCGUAGGCCAA
rnacentral:tRNA from 1 species